GCCGUGGCAAAGAAGCAGGCUGCGGGCGGCAGGAAGGGCUGCGGGCCUGCGCCGCCGCUCUCCAUCUUGGCAGAGCUCUCCAUGCGCAGCGGCCGCCGAGGAGUCGCGGGAUCGGAGCGGUCCGGGGACGCGAGUUUUUGUGGCUGGGAAGUCCAAGAUCAAGCUGCCGGCAGAUCUACUGUUUGAAUGGCAGCAUGGGUGGGGGCAGGAGGCAGGAUCCUCCACUUCAUUCACUGCUGUAUCCCCAGUACCACCUGGCAUGCAACAGAGGUCCGCACCACAUUCUUAAAACCUCCUGGCAAGACUGAGCUUCCAUCCUCUCCUGGGUGCUUCCAGCAGUGAUGUAAACAGCUCCGGGACACA